UGGGGAAUUUUGGACAAUGGGCGAAAGCCUGAUCCAGCAAUGCCGCGUGUGUGAAGAAGGCCUUCGGGUUGUAAAGCACUUUUGUCCGGAAAGAAAUCCUUGGCUCUAAUACAGUCGGGGGAUGACGGUACCGGAAGAAUAAGCACCGGCUAACUACGUGCCAGCAGCCGCGGUAAUACGUAGGGUGCAAGCGUUAAUCGGAAUUACUGGGCGUAAAGCGUGCGCAGGCGGUUUGCUAAGACCGAUGUGAAAUCCCCGGGCUCAACCUGGGAACUGCAUUGGUGACUGGCAGGCUAGAGUAUGGCAGAGGGGGGUAGAAUUCCACGUGUAGCAGUGAAAUGCGUAGAGAUGUGGAGGAAUACCGAUGGCGAAGGCAGCCCCCUGGGCCAAUACUGACGCUCAUGCACGAAAGCGUGGGGGAGCAAACAGGAUUAGAUACCCCUGGUAGUCCACGCCCUAAACGAUGUCAACUAGUUGUUGGGGAUUCAUUUCCUUAGUAACGUAGCUAACGCGUGAAGUUGACCGCCUGGGGGAGUACGG
rnacentral:rRNA from 1 species